ensembl:lncRNA
AUUUUAUUUUAUCAAGCCCCUAUCAAGGGAUAUUAAUUUGUUGCCAUUUCUUUUGCAAUUACAAACAAUGUAAUAAAUCAUUUCACACAUGUGCGAGUGUAUCACCAGGAAAAAUUUAUAGAGGUGAAACUUCUAGGUCAGAGGAUGUGGACUGUUUACAUUUUGAUAGAUCAUUACAUAUGCUCCUCUGUAGGCAAGCUGGCAACAAACCCUCCCAUACAAUUUGGGCAAACACAGGUUCUUACAGAAGAUUGAGCUGAGUUCCCUGUGCUACACAGUAGGUCCUUGCUGGUUCUCUAUCUUAAAUACACCAGUGUAUACAUGGCAGUCCCCAACUCCCAAACUAUCCCUCCCUGGUAACUUGCAGAAGGGAUGGUGUGCUGCUUCAUAAACUAGAUCACAAGAGGCACCAUGGCUUCCUGCUGUCUUGCAUUUUCUCUGGAAACCAGCUACUAUGUUCAGGCCCUGACAAGCCUUCAGAUGCUUGU